rnacentral:rRNA from 1 species
CAAGCGUUGUCCGGAAUUAUUGGGCGUAAAGCGCGCGCAGGCGGUUCUUUAAGUCUGAUGUGAAAGCCCACGGCUCAACCGUGGAGGGUCAUUGGAAACUGGAGAACUUGAGUACAGAAGAGGAAAGCGGAAUUCCACGUGUAGCGGUGAAAUGCGUAGAGAUGUGGAGGAACACCAGUGGCGAAGGCGGCUUUCUGGUCUGUAACUGAC